CACAGGGAUGAUUCCACAGGAUGUUCGCAACGAUGUUCUAACAGAUGUUCGCACAAGAUGUUCCCACAGAUGUUCACAGAUGUUCCCACAGAUGUUCCCACAGAUGUUCUCACAGAUGUUCUCACAGAUGUUCCCACAGAUGUUCCAGAUGUUCGCACAGAUGUUUCUCACAGAUGUUCUCACAGAUGUUCUCACAGAUGUUCGCACAGAUGUUCUCACAGAUGUUCCCCAG
rnacentral:lncRNA from 1 species